rnacentral:lncRNA from 1 species
AUGUCAUGAGAAUGAUUUGAUUUAUUCAGAUGCACAUAUAUGCAUAUAAUUGUAAUUUAGCUUUUUGUAUCUGAAAGUUUAGUAUGCUGAAGAUAGUGAUUCGAUAUAAAUAUUUUCCUUAACCCCUGCUCAAUAGUAAUAAAAAUUAUAACCAUAAUCACAGCUACAAUUUGCUUAAUGCUUACCAUAAAGCAAACUGCAGAUACAGAUUAUUUAUUUAGUUCUGUGCUUACUAUGAAGCAGACUCCAGAUAUAGAUUGCUUAGUCCUGAUGAUAACUUCAUAGACAAAGGAGCACAGAUGAUCAUCCACAUUACACCACAAAUUCAAGAUACGGUAUAUAAAACCUUAUGUCCAGCUUGGCAAUGUAUGCCUGUUAUACCAACCCUUAAGAGGCUGAGGCAGGAGGAUUAUGAACUUGUGAUCAAUCUGAGCUAUACAGUGAGACUCCACUCACCCUUGUUACCUGCGAAAGGAUCUGAUGUCUCAUGCCUGCCUUCCUCCCUCUUCUAUUGCCCCCUACUUAAGGUAAGGAUCCCAGACUUAAACCCCCAAUUCUACCCAAUGUGCACCCUCUAGUCCCAAAUCUAAGAUGGCAGUCUCUAAGACUGCCAACCAGUGGACUCCUUCUAGGUAAAGACCUUAGACGCCCUGUGCUGAUUCUACCCACCCCCAUAACUAUCCUGAGGACUAUGUACUCGACUUGUGCCAUUGGAACACAGCCUUUGGCCACUUUUCUCUAUGUAUGGAGCCUAAGAUCACACCAACAAUUCUACCCCUCCCUGUUGUAGAGCCCUAAACUCAAGUUUCCCCCUCUACACAUGCUUUCUCAUCCCACAGCUCAGCCCUCUCUAUAAAGAGAGGCUAGGCUCAAUCAGCCAACUCCAACCACCCCUGUGGCAUAGCUAAGAACUAUGUACUGCCUUUUGUCUUCCUGAAUCUGGCCACCACUAACUGUACCAAAAAAAAAAAAAAGUAAGGUAUUGAAAGCUGAAAGAUAAAGUCACAUAUAAAGGCAAGCCUACUUUCGGGAUAGCAUUUGAAAUGUAAAUGAAGAAAAUGUCUAAUAAAAAAUUGAAGGAAAAAAAGCAAGCCUAUUAGAAGAACAGCUGGUUUUUCAAUGAAGACUAUGAAAAGCCAGAAGGGCUUCUACAACUUAUAAAAGACCACAUACCCCAACACAAACUACUACACCCAAUAAAACUGCUGGUCUCAAGCAAAGAAGGAAAAAAAAUCCCAUAAUAAAUACAAGUUUAAGGAAUAAAUCACUAUUAACCCAGCUCUUCAGAAGAUACUGUAAGGACUACUUAGAAAUUCAAGAAAAGGUGAAACAUGUCCAAGGCACAAAGGAAAAAAAAAUUUCAGAACAUCAAGUCAAAUAAUAUCUAGUAACACACAAUAAGAGCAGCAAAAUUACCAGAAAAAAGGGCUAAGGUUUAAUUAUAGCUUAUAUAUUAAUAGUUACAACUCCCCAAUUAAGAGACAAAAUCUAGCAGAUUGAAUUAGAAAACAGGAUCUCUUUUUAUUCUUUGCUGCUUCCAAUAAACAUACUUCACCUUAAGGUAAAAUCAUGAAAUGGGUAUUACAAACAAACAGAGCUGAGAAACAAACAGAUGUAGUUAUUCUAAUAUCUGAUAAAAUAGCCUUCAAAAAUAGUCAAGAGAUAAGGAGAACCAUGUCUUUGUCAUUAAAGGAGAAACUCACCCAACAAUAUAUUAGAACCUAACCAUGUACACCAAAUAUGGAGACAUCCAAUUUCAUAAAAGAAACAGUGUUAGAUUUAAAAUCACAGGUUGACAAAAGCGUAACAGUAGUAGGAUAUUUCAGUAUGCCACUCCGAACAAUAGAUCAUACAGGAAAAAAACAGGUUCUACAGCUUAGAAAUAUACUCAACAAAGUAUCAGGAUACAAAAUUGGCAUGCAAAAAUGAGUAGCCUUCAAGUAUACAAAUGACAAACAUACAGAGAAAGAAAUCAUGGAAACA